GGGAAACAAUGCUAUUGGAUGUGGUAAGGAGGAUUCACGAGCUUGCUGCUAAAUGAUUGAAUAUCGAUUCAAGUGUUGAUUGGCUGACGUUGUACUCUGCUAUCCCGAGCUGGUUUCUGUUCCUCUCUAUGUACCCGAAAACAUCAGCGAGUGAUAGACCUUCUCCACAAGGGAGCUGAUACUUGACACUCAAUCCAUUGCAACCUUGAAAUGUGGCGUCAGGAAAUGAAGACUGAAUGAAUGAAUGGAUUUUGGUAAACUUCUCCUUAGCCAACCACCACUCACAGAAUAUCGGCAACGGAAGUCCACCAUCACGAGCCAACUGCUCUGACAACUGGUCACCGAAAAUCUUACAAGAGUCUUCAGUUGCAGAUACUAAUGCUUUCACUCUUUCUUCAUUGCCAAACCACUGUCCAACAGCCAUGAUCAUUUCCUUUGAUAAGCUUAUUUCUGCCGCCGAUGCGUCUCCUG
rnacentral:misc_RNA from 1 species